rnacentral:rRNA from 1 species
GAUGAACGCUGGCGGCGUGCUUAACACAUGCAAGUCGAACGGAAAGGCCCAAGCUUGCUUGGGUACUCGAGUGGCGAACGGGUGAGUAACACGUGGGUGAUCUGCCCUGCACUUCGGGAUAAGCCUGGGAAACUGGGUCUAAUACCGGAUAGGACGAUGGUUUGGAUGCCAUUGUGGAAAGUUUUUUCGGUGUGGGAUUAGCUCGCGGCCUAUCAGCUUGUUGGUGGGGUAAUGGCCUACCAAGGCGUCGACGGGUAGCCGGCCUGAGAGGGUGUACGGCCACAUUGGGACUGAGAUACGGCCCAGACUCCUACGGGAGGCAGCAGUGGGGAAUAUUGCACAAUGGGCGCAAGCCUGAUGCAGCGACGCCGCGUGGGGGAUGACGGCCUUCGGGUUGUAAACUCCUUUCGCUAGGGACGAAGCGUUUUUGUGACGGUACCUGGAGAAGAAGCACCGGCUAACUACGU